rnacentral:rRNA from 1 species
GGGUUGUGAGGUUAAGCGACUAAGCGUACACGGUGGAUGCCCUGGCAGUCAGAGGCGAUGAAGGACGUGCUAAUCUGCGAUAAGCGUCGGUAAGGUGAUAUGAACCGUUAUAACCGGCGAUUUCCGAAUGGGGAAACCCAGUGUGAUUCGUCACACUAUCAUUAACUGAAUCCAUAGGUUAAUGAGGCGAACCGGGGGAACUGAAACAUCUAAGUACCCCGAGGAAAAGAAAUCAACCGAGAUUCCCCCAGUAGCGGCGAGCGAACGGGGAGCAGCCCAGAGCCUGAAUCAGUGUGUGUGUUAGUGGAAGCGUCUGGAAAGGCGUGCGAUACAGGGUGACAGCCCCGUACACAAAAAUGCACAUACUGUGAGCUCGAUGAGUAGGGCGGGACACGUGGUAUCCUGUCUGAAUAUGGGGGGACCAUCCUCCAAGGCUAAAUACUCCUGACUGACCGAUAGUGAACCAGUACCGUGAGGGAAAGGCGAAAAGAACCCCGGCGAGGGGAGUGAAAAAGAACCUGAAACCGUGUACGUACAAGCAGUGGGAGCACGCUUAGGCGUGUGACUGCGUACCUUUUGUAUAAUGGGUCAGCGACUUAUAUUCUGUAGCAAGGUUAACCGAAUAGGGGAGCCGAAGGGAAACCGAGUCUUAACUGGGCGUUAAGUUGCAGGGUAUAGACCCGAAACCCGGUGAUCUAGCCAUGGGCAGGUUGAAGGUUGGGUAACACUAACUGGAGGACCGAACCGACUAAUGUUGAAAAAUUAGCGGAUGACUUGUGGCUGGGGGUGAAAGGCCAAUCAAACCGGGAGAUAGCUGGUUCUCCCCGAAAGCUAUUUAGGUAGCGCCUCGUGAAUUCAUCUCCGGGGGUAGAGCACUGUUUCGGCAAGGGGGUCAUCCCGACUUACCAACCCGAUGCAAACUGCGAAUACCGGAGAAUGUUAUCACGGGAGACACACGGCGGGUGCUAACGUCCGUCGUGAAGAGGGAAACAACCCAGACCGCCAGCUAAGGUCCCAAAGUCAUGGUUAAGUGGGAAACGAUGUGGGAAGGCCCAGACAGCCAGGAUGUUGGCUUAGAAGCAGCCAUCAUUUAAAGAAAGCGUAAUAGCUCACUGGUCGAGUCGGCCUGCGCGGAAGAUGUAACGGGGCUAAACCAUGCACCGAAGCUGCGGCAGCGACGCUUAUGCGUUGUUGGGUAGGGGAGCGUUCUGUAAGCCUGUGAAGGUGUGCUGUGAGGUAUGCUGGAGGUAUCAGAAGUGCGAAUGCUGACAUAAGUAACGAUAAAGCGGGUGAAAAGCCCGCUCGCCGGAAGACCAAGGGUUCCUGUCCAACGUUAAUCGGGGCAGGGUGAGUCGACCCCUAAGGCGAGGCCGAAAGGCGUAGUCGAUGGGAAACAGGUUAAUAUUCCUGUACUUGGUGUUACUGCGAAGGGGGGACGGAGAAGGCUAUGUUGGCCGGGCGACGGUUGUCCCGGUUUAAGCGUGUAGGCUGGUUUUCCAGGCAAAUCCGGAAAAUCAAGGCCGAGGCGUGAUGACGAGGCACUACGGUGCUGAAGCAACAAAUGCCCUGCUUCCAGGAAAAGCCUCUAAGCAUCAGGUAACAUCAAAUCGUACCCCAAACCGACACAGGUGGUCAGGUAGAGAAUACCAAGGCGCUUGAGAGAACUCGGGUGAAGGAACUAGGCAAAAUGGUGCCGUAACUUCGGGAGAAGGCACGCUGAUACGUAGGUGAAGCGACUUGCUCGUGGAGCUGAAAUCAGUCGAAGAUACCAGCUGGCUGCAACUGUUUAUUAAAAACACAGCACUGUGCAAACACGAAAGUGGACGUAUACGGUGUGACGCCUGCCCGGUGCCGGAAGGUUAAUUGAUGGGGUUAGCGCAAGCGAAGCUCUUGAUCGAAGCCCCGGUAAACGGCGGCCGUAACUAUAACGGUCCUAAGGUAGCGAAAUUCCUUGUCGGGUAAGUUCCGACCUGCACGAAUGGCGUAAUGAUGGCCAGGCUGUCUCCACCCGAGACUCAGUGAAAUUGAACUCGCUGUGAAGAUGCAGUGUACCCGCGGCAAGACGGAAAGACCCCGUGAACCUUUACUAUAGCUUGACACUGAACAUUGAGCCUUGAUGUGUAGGAUAGGUGGGAGGCUUUGAAGUGUGGACGCCAGUCUGCAUGGAGCCGACCUUGAAAUACCACCCUUUAAUGUUUGAUGUUCUAACGUGGACCCGUGAUCCGGGUUGCGGACAGUGUCUGGUGGGUAGUUUGACUGGGGCGGUCUCCUCCUAAAGAGUAACGGAGGAGCACGAAGGUUGGCUAAUCCUGGUCGGACAUCAGGAGGUUAGUGCAAUGGCAUAAGCCAGCUUGACUGCGAGCGUGACGGCGCGAGCAGGUGCGAAAGCAGGUCAUAGUGAUCCGGUGGUUCUGAAUGGAAGGGCCAUCGCUCAACGGAUAAAAGGUACUCCGGGGAUAACAGGCUGAUACCGCCCAAGAGUUCAUAUCGACGGCGGUGUUUGGCACCUCGAUGUCGGCUCAUCACAUCCUGGGGCUGAAGUAGGUCCCAAGGGUAUGGCUGUUCGCCAUUUAAAGUGGUACGCGAGCUGGGUUUAGAACGUCGUGAGACAGUUCGGUCCCUAUCUGCCGUGGGCGCUGGAGAACUGAGGGGGGCUGCUCCUAGUACGAGAGGACCGGAGUGGACGCAUCACUGGUGUUCGGGUUGUCAUGCCAAUGGCACUGCCCGGUAGCUAAAUGCGGAAGAGAUAAGUGCUGAAAGCAUCUAAGCACGAAACUUGCCCCGAGAUGAGUUCUCCCUGACCCUUUAAGGGUCCUGAAGGAACGUUGAAGACG